rnacentral:lncRNA from 1 species
AGACUCCCAAGGAGGCGGGAGAGAGACAAUUAAUCCCCCUUUCCGGUGUCAAGACACCAGGGAGGAAGGACUGGGAAAGAGAACCCCUCUUCCUGUUCCAGGACCCUUACAAAGCGGGAACGUCAAGGCUGGACGAUCUUUUUCAGUGUCAGGACCUCGGGGAGGGACUGCCCCUUUCACCUCCAUCACCUUUGGAUAAGUGGGAACGGGGGAUCCUUUCCCCCUGGGAAGAGCCGAGGAUGUCUGAACCCUUACUUAUGCUGGUAGUGGGGAAGGAACACUGUACUGGGAAAAGAGGGCAGAGUAACCAACGCUUUUCUAAACUUGAUCCACAGGGAGAAGGGGAGUAGCUGGGACAAGAGCAAUGUGUUCCUUUCCUACCCUUCAGUACCCACACACAAAACCAGAGAUCAGUUAGACAUAGCCCUCUGCCCUUUCCUUGUCCUGUGCAGAGUCCCCAUGAACCCACUCUUGAGAGUCCUUAAGGUAGAGAAGACUACUUUCCUUCCUCUUAAAAUAGUAGAACCCAGUUGUGCGGUAGUGGGCUUGCCUUUAAAUCCCAUCACUUGGCAGUCAGAGGCAGGGGGAUCUCUGAGUUCAAGGCCAGCCUGGUCUAAGAAGCAAAUUACAGGACAGCCAGGGCUACAGAGAGAGAAACUUUGUUUCGGAAA